AGCACGUGAUGGUGGGGACUCAUAGGAGACUGCCGGGGUCAACUCGGAGGAAGGUGGGGAUGACGUCAAAUCAUCAUGCCCCUUAUGUCUUGGGCUUCACGCAUGCUACAAUGGCCGGUACAAAGGGCUGCGAUACCGCGAGGUGGAGCGAAUCCCAAAAAACCGGUCUCAGUUCGGAUUGGGGUCUGCAACUCGACCCCAUGAAGUCGGAGUCGCUAGUAAUCGCAGAUCAGCAACGCUGCGGUGAAUACGUUCCCGGGCCUUGUACACACCGCCCGUCAAGUCACGAAAGUCGGUAACACCCGAAGCCGGUGGCCCAACUCUUUGAGAGGGAGCCGUCGAAGGUGGGACUGGCGAUUGGGACUAAGUCGUAACAAGGUAGCCGUACCGGAAGGUGCGGCUGGAUCACCUCCUUUCUAAGGAG
rnacentral:rRNA from 1 species